UGCUACCCACACACGACCGCACAACCUCUCCCCUCCUCCCCGCACGACCCCUCUCGCCUCGUCCUCCCCGCACGUCUCUCGCCCCCUCCUCGAUCUCGCUCGCCCCAUCCUCCUCCUCCCGUGCCGUUCGCCUCCCCGUCGUUCUCGCAGCCUUGCGCCGCCGUUAGUCGCAGGAGCCACCCCGCCGCGCCCGGAGCCGCCUCCCAUAGCCGCCUCCCGCAGCCGCCACCGGUCGCCGCAGCCGUCGCCCCGGGAGCCUCCCUGCCGGCCUUUUGCCGCCUGCCGCGGCCGCGCCCUUCGUCGCCGGUGGCCGCGCACAUUCUGCUGACUCCAAGACGAGGAGCCGGUGCAUCAACGUCAAUGCGGGAUCUGUCCGCCCUCCUCGCUCGCCGUUGACGCCGCCAUAGGCGGAGGUGACGCUGCUCCACGGGAUCCGGCAAGGUCGUUUUCCAUCACGACAGCCCAUCACGGGUGCAGGUGACUGGGGCGUGGUAGUCGUCCCCAUCGUCUCUACUGUCCCCAUGCCAAGCGGUGGUCCUUCCCGGUGGCCCUUGCUCCUUCGCCAGCGCGCCUCCGCGCCGGGCCGCCGCCUCUGCUCCUCCGCCAGAGCCCUACCGCGCCCGGUCGCAGCCUCGCGCGCCUCCGUGCUGGCCCUCCACGCCUCUCCGCGCACGCCGCAGACGGCCCUCCUCACCUCCCACGACACGCCCGAGGAGCUCAACUGACGACGACACCCAUCUCCUUUCAGAGAUGAGUGGACGUUCCAAAAGCUUUAUCUCCGUUACCUGCUGGUUCGAGAUCUGCACAAGUUUCCUCCCUUCCAUUGUCAGCCUCAUCUGAAGGUAUUCUUCCCCGGCCUUGUCAUUCUGCAAGAGAUGAUUGAAUGUUUGUUUCGACAUGGAUCUCCAGAGACGAAGUUCUACACUCAUGUGUUGCAGAUUUUGUAUUCUAUCCCACCUCCGUUUAGUUUCAACUGUAGUUACCUGAUAAACCGUGGAGGACAAGCGCCGUAGCAAACCAGAGAAAUGGACAAGCGCCGUAGCAAACCAAAGAAAUUAAUUGUUAGAACUGUUGUUUAUGCUUGUUUGAUUCUGAUGCUUCCAGUUGGCAUUUGUCUGUCAUCUAUUCAUAGUUACGGAAGCGCUACUUUUCUUAAGAAAAUUACACAUACAAGCUGCAACCCUGAGUGAGCACAAUUGUCCUAUAGCACAUAAUUCAGAUUUUCACUUUUAAAUACUUAAGAAGUGCAAUUUUUCUUGAAAUUUGUACAUGCUUCUGGUCAGAGUGAGCACAACUGUCCUACGGUACAAAAUUCAGAGUUUUGCUACACAUUCAGAUUACUAAGAAUGCCAGAAUUGCAAAUACAUUAAGAGGCAUGCCGUGUAAUUGCAACAAUUAGCAAUAAUAAGGUCUUAUAUAUUUUGUAAUUUCCAGGUCCUUUUUUUCUUGAAUUUUUUUCCAGGUCCUUUGAUUGGUCUAUUCUGCGUCAAAGGUCCCGUUCAUCUCAGGCAAAUUGCGUUGCAGCCUCAAUUGUACAUGUGCUUCAAUCUAUUUUCAUGUUGUUUUCUUGGGCCUAGUGUUUUGCUUCUUGGGUGUUUGACAAACGCUUCACAAAUUAAGCUCCUCUUAACAAUUUCAUAGGUGUCGGUUGGCCUGCAGCUCGUGUGGUCGGAGGUGCUCGUGUGGGCGGAGGUGCUUGUGCGGGAUGAAACUUUGGACGAUCUAUGUUCAUGUCAUUACUGUUUAUAAAUAUCUUCUGUUGUUCUAGAUGAUAGUCUUGACUUUUCCGGUGUUCAUGGCGGUAACUAAGGUAUAUCUAUGUUGUAGUCGACAAGGAGGCCUACCUAUGAUGCCCGUGCAGUUGAAAAUGUUUGCAAGGCAGCCUAUGAUGUCUGGUUGGAGGCCUACUUAUGAUGUCAGAUUGUUGUACACGGAAAUUUUGCGGGAUAGUUUGCAAAUUGGGAGUUUAUGUUUUUCUUAGUUAGCUUUUAAGAUUGUUGUAGUUAAAACAUGAGAUGGAAGCCUCAUAUUGAAUACUUAGCUAUGUUACAAAUUUAUAGUAGUGGCUAUCUUCUACAUCAGCCUGUGUUCAAAUAGUCUAUUUUGUAUGUUUGUUCACAGAAGUUGAUUAUCCUAGCAUACAACUACCCUCCGGUCGUGAAGCCUUAGAUUGAAUACAAAGCUAUGUUGCCAAUGAUCUCAUAACCUUGCCUGUCACAUUGCACCUAUGAUAUGAGGAGUACGACAAAUUUUACAAAUAGAACAUAUAUAAUUUGUGGUAGCAGAAUUACAUUUAGUACUGAAUAUUUGAUUAAUAAUCCUUACUCCGUAUGGAGCAAAGUCUACAACCUUUAUAUCUAAAGCAGUUUAACUUUGAUACUAGACAGUGGGUAUGCUAAGCUUUGCCACUUUCUGAAGUGUGUUGAAAUAGGAGUUCCAGUUCUUGAUUUUUCAGGAAACUGAAGAAGAGCGUUUGAGGAAAGAGGAGAAGUGGGAGGCACAGGAAGAUAAGAAGGGGAGAAGGGAGGGGGAAAACGAGAAGUUGCUCAAGAAGAAUACUAGAAACGCCUUACCAGUAGGCUUUCGUUGCAAUGUUUUCAUGGAUUAUUGGAUGAGUCUUCCUCUUGAUUGUUUUUUUAGGUAAGUUCAUGAUCACAUUGAAAAUAUGUGAUGGAUACAUGGAGUUUUGUGGAUGACCUGAUUUAUUGGGCCUUUUUGAGAUUUUUGUUUGGAAUUAAUAUUCAGCACAACCAUUGCCAAAGUAUAUUGAUCAACAGAUCAGCUUCUAAAUCAUUCAUCAUUUUCAA